rnacentral:misc_RNA from 1 species
GCAAACUUGGUCAUUUAGAGGAAGUAAAAGUCGUAACAAGGUUUCCGUAGGUGAACCUGCGGAAGGAUCAUCAUCGAUUACUUCAUACCCAACGCGCCAUCUCCGGCGCGUUGGGUCAAUGAUAAACCCUCCUGUGCACCGUAUACCGUUCACUUUGGCUGGCUUUGGUGGCGAAUACCUCGUUCGCUCCCAACCACACCCCGCCCCUGCUCCCCCUAAGAAGGGAUGCGCGCGCGCGUGUGGCGGCCCGCCAGAGUCCUCCUGAAAAACUCGUUUUUUCGAACUUGACUGAAAUUCUCCUUUGAGAAAUCAAAGAAUACGAAAACAACUUUCAACAACGGAUCUCUUGGCUCUCGCAUCGAUGAAGAACGCAGC